GCUAAUGGGACGACAAACAGCAGAAAGGCACAUACAGGAGCCUUCUAGCCACUCAGGAAGAGGUUGGAACAGUCCUAAGAAGAUAAAGAUGGAACUGCCACUUUCAACAAUGUUCCAGAAACCAGUUUUUGAAGAAAGCCUUACAGAUAGAUCCUUUGCUAUGACCCAACCAACAAGACUGAGCUUGUUAUUCAAUCAGAGCUUCUAUGAUGAAUCCAGGUUUUCUUCCUCAAGACACUGAUGAAUAUUACAAGAUCAUCAGACAGGCCAUAUUUUGUGGGAGUCCUCACCACUAUAUGCCUGAACUCUAUAACUGGAAUAUAUCUAUGCUGGGAUUGGUUUCAUGUGAUGGGGCGUAGCCUUUUCGUCGGGAUUGGAUUUCUCUUUCUUUCUGUCUUUGCAGUGCUUUCGGCAAUAAUGGCUUCAAUGUGUCUUUAUAUGGCAGCAGUCAAUUUAACUACAACAGAGUGUCUCAAGCCAACAAAACACUCUUAUCUCCUGAACCAUCAUGGAAAGUUCUUCAAUCCAUUUGAUAGAGGAAUUAUACUAAACUUUAUGGAAUUCCUCCAU